rnacentral:rRNA from 1 species
CCCUACUGCUAUCGGGGUGGGACUAAGACAUGCGAGUUGAGCGUCUCUAAGCCAUGGUAGAGACGCAGCGUACGGCUCAGUAACACGUGGCUAACCUACCCUUAGGACGGGGACAACCCCGGGAAACUGGGACUAAUACCCGAUAGGUGAGGAGGCCUGGAAUGGUUCUUAGUCGAAAAGGCGUUGAAACCAUGCUUUUCGACGUCGCCUAAGGAUGGGGCCGCGUCCGAUCAGGUUGUUGGUGGGGUAACGGCUCACCAAGCCUUUAACCGGUACGGGCCGUGAGAGCGGGAGCCCGGAGAUGGGCACUGAGACAAGGGCCCAGGCCCUACGGGGCGCAGCAGUCGCGAAAACUCCGCAAUGCGCGAAAGCGUGACGGGGCUACCCCGAGUGCCGUCCGCUGAGGAUGGCUUUUCCCGGUGUAAUGAGCCGGGGGAAUAAGGAGAGGGCAAGACUGGUGUCAGCCGCCGCGGUAAUACCAGCUCUCCGAGUGGUAGGGAUGAUUAUUGGGCUUAAAGCGUCCGUAGCCGGCUUAGCAAGUCUCCUGUUAAAUUCAGCGACCUAAUCGUUGAGCCGCGGGAGAUACUACUAGGCUAGGAGGCGGGAGAGGCCGACGGUAUUCUCGGGGUAGGGGUGAAAUCCUAUAAUCCCGGGAGGACCACCAGUGGCGAAGGCUGUCGGCUAGAACGCGCUCGACGGUGAGGGACGAAAGCUGGGGGAGCGAACCGGAUUAGAUACCCGGGUAGUCCCAGCCGUAAACGAUGCGGGCUAGGUGUUGGGGUGGCUACGAGCCACUUCAGUGCCGCAGGGAAGCCAUUAAGCCCGCCGCCUGGGGAGUACGGCCGCAAGGCUGAAACUUAAAGGAAUUGGCGGGGGAGCACCACAAGGCGUGAAGCUUGCGGUUC